rnacentral:rRNA from 1 species
GCAAGUCGAGGGAGAAGCUGACUUCGGUCAGUGGGCACCGGCGCACGGGUGAGUAACGCGUGGAAACCUACCCCGGGGUGGGGGAUAACCGCUGGAAACGGCGGCUAAUACCGCAUACGCCUUUUAAGGGAAAGAUUUAUCGCCCUGGGAUGGGUCCGCGUUAGAUUAGGUAGUUGGUGGGGUAAAGGCCUGCCAAGCCGACGAUCUAUAGCUGGUCUGAGAGGAUGAUCAGCCACACUGGGACUGAGACGCGGCCCAGGCUCCUACGGGAGGCAGCAGUGGGGAAUCUUGGACAAUGGGGGCAACCCUGAUCCAGCCAUGCCGCGUGAGUGAAGAAGGCCUUAGGGUUGUAAAGCUCUUUCAACGGUGAAGAUGAUGACUGUAGCCGUAGAAGAA